ensembl:antisense_RNA anr-9 ncRNA
UGCUUACAUUCAAUUUCAGCCACUCUUUCAACGUCGGCCACCAUUCUGCACAAAACCAAUAUCUGAGGAAUUGACGAAUUCUCUGAGCAACUCGUUUUGUUCGUUCUACGAUCGCCACGUGGAUCCAGUUUUUGAUACCAUUGACGAGUUCACGACAUGAUUCACGGAAAUUGAAGAUAAAAUGCUUUACGUAGGCGAUUAGAGCUGUAAAAAGAGAGGGGGUUUUCGAUUUUUUAAAGAAAAUAUUUCAAAUUUUUUGAAAAAUUUUUUUUCAAUAAAUUAUGUUUUUU